rnacentral:lncRNA from 1 species
CCCCAUCUCUCUUCUCCCUUUUUUUGGUCUUCGUACGAUUGAACCAAUAUACUUUAAGGUACUUCUUGCUACUGUAGUUGCUAGUGACAAAUGUAUACUGGUUGUUAUUGAUUUUCAUCCAGAUUGACUUCUUGUCGAUCUACAAAAUGGCGCUAGUAAGUUCGGGACGCCUAACACAGUUUAAGGCAAAAUGUUAUUUAGUUUAUGUCCUUUCCACUUUUUUCCGGGCUUGUGACUGAAAUUGGCAGUGUUCUGCCCCCCUACGCCCAUUAAUAUUCACAAAAUUAAGGAAAUAAUUCGUGUAUUUGUGAUUUUAAUAACUGAAUAGUAAAAUUAGGUCUGAUUGCAAUAUAAUAUAUAACCAUUGGAUUGUACUAUAGAACAGGCUUGAAAUAUCAGAUUAUAUAGAGUGUCGAUGUUUGGUAUUAUUGAACUAUUUUCAUCAAAUGUUGAUGCAUGUUUCCAAUGCUUAUGCGGAGUAGUACACAUAUCCAUGUACUUAUGGUUAUAUAAAAGGCUUUUAAAAUCCAUCUAGUUCACGGCGAAGAAGAUGGCCUCUGCCCGGCGAAUGUUCAAGUCCACACCCAUCUAGUUCAUAUGUAUGGAAGUAGGGGCGCAUGCUCUUUUUAAUAAAUCUUUUUUAAUGCCCCACAAAAUCAUUUGUUUUGUAUUGAUCAGUGUAUACAUGCACUUGGGUUGAGUGCAUGGACAACUCUUAUGUUUUACAUUCCCAAAGAGAUAAUGGAUGAUGGUACCUUAGACUACAAAACUGAUAAUUUAUAAUUAGUUGAGUGAAAUCAGUUUUGACUCUCCAUGUUUGAUGUGUAAAGCACAAUAUGUGUAAAGCACUGCCAAGAUUUGCUAUGUCGACCAUUUAGUCCUGCGGUACAAUGGAGAUUCCAAUAAUCCCAUAGUCCGUGGAUGCUGCUAGUCAGUAGGUUAAUAAUGUGAACCCCUAUUUAAAAAAUUAUUUUUACCUGUCCUCAUAUUUGUAAUCAUUCAUUGAAUAUGAAUGGUAAAAGGUGAAAAUGCGUGUUAGAGAGGCGCACAUCUAUCAAAAGGAUCUGGUGAUUUUCUGGAAUGAUUAUGCGGGUCAGACAUGUUAUGGAUCUACAUAACCAACUGAGUACACCUCCUUUUUUAUUCUAUUGUCGUUAUAAACAAAAGCCUCCUUUAUCAAUUCCUUGUGAUACUAAAGAAAAUCUAAGUGCAUAUUAGAACAGAAGAUGUAAUAUCAAUUGAAUCUGCAUAAUUUUAUAUUAAGAUGAGCACGACUAAACAUUCAUAGUCUUCAAAGUAGAUUUGUCUGCAUGCACACAUAAUUAGUUAAAUCCAUGUUCUCAUGGACUCUAAAGUAAACACAAUUGUAUGCCAAUGCAAAUUACUACUCCCUCCGUUCACAAAUAUAAGAUGUUUUGGAUAUUUCAAUAUGUACUACAUACAGAUUGAAAUGAGUGAACAAACAUACUAAAACGUGUCUAUAUACAUCCAAUUCACAAAAAAAUUGGAACAUCUUAUAUUAGUGAACGAAGGGAGUACAAAGUAUAUAGAGUAUCUAGAAUAUAUUUGUGUAAGUACAACCAAGGGGAUUAAGUUUGUAGUUUAGCACUUGCUACUGCCUUGUUCUAGCUUGUGUUCCUUCCAGGUGCUUUCUUAAUUCUCUUGUCUUCUAUUGAUCCUUUUCUCCUAGUUUUAAAUGCCGUCUUUUUUUCUUUUUUCCUGUAGAUUUUGAAUCCUACUCGUUCACUAAAAUUUGAAUGUCAGUAACAUAAUUUCCCUGCUAGGCUAGCUUUAGUAGAAUUUAAUUGUGUUCAGAGAUGCAUAUGGGGCAUUGUAGCACCAAGAUGCUAGUGCAUGUCCGUCCGAACAUUUUAAAAUAUGAACUUUCUUUCUUAGAUGAGAGUACCUCGUCAUUGAUAACAUCAAUGCUAAAAUGGUCAUGAUUUUCGUCCUGUCCUGCCUGUAAAGUAAGAUACUAUACCUUAUACUUCCUCUGUUCGAAAUUUCAUGUCGCAUAAAUGAAUGAAAAAUGGGUGUAUCUAAAACUAAAAUACGUCUAGAUACAUCCAUUUCUCCGACAAAUAAUUUUGGAUGGAGGGAGUAGUUUGGAAUAUGAAAUAGGACAUUUGUUUUUUCUUAAAUUAGAAAUGUAAAGUUUUGACAUGUGUAAAGUGUUCUUUCAGGUACUCUUUUAAAUUUGUUGUCGGUAAGAAUUUUAACAUGUGUAAGUUUCUCCAUAGUCUUCAUUUGAAUCAUCUUCUAGUGUACAUAGUGGUAUUUCUUUACAGAGGGAGUAAUUACAUAUGGACACACUUUCUUUUCGAAUAGAUUUGCCUGCAGUUUUUGGAAAUUCAUAAAAUAACGACAAUUAUUUAACACAUGUAGAAGAUGAGAAGUGAAAUACCUGGUCAUUGAGAAGUUUGUUCUCUGUAACCUUUUUUGCUUCAUUCGUCACUUCUGUUCCUUGGAUUUCCAGUUUGCUUUAUAAAGAAAAUACUUGCAUUAUACUUUUGGUAAACUAUUUGAACUUGUUUUCCAAUAUGGAUCCUGCUGGAGGUGGCUUGAUUUCGUGUAGAAGAUGGUACCUGCUAGAGGUGGUGUUGUCGCUAGAUGGAACUAAUGAUGUAGGUUGCGUCAUUGCUGGCUGGAGUUGAUCGGACAAUCCUCAAUAUUAUGUACAAUGUCCUACAAGCUCAAUAGUAUUUAGUGGAAAUAAAACUAAGUGGCUUGCCGAAUUGAGCUUAAACUUGUUAGUUGGGCAUAUUUUGGCAACGCAAAUAUAAACUUAUAUAUGUGCUAUUAAUUAGAACAAUGGGAUUCAUGAAAAGAACGGGUGGAUAUGAACUUUUAGAUGUGCUACAGAGUAUUAUUAUUAAUUAAAGAAUAGAACAGUUCUUGGAAAAGAAGAGGCGUUGCAUGCAAAGAGCGGUAGUAUAGGUUUUAGAGAGUCGAUACCUGCCUUGGCUUUGGUUGCCGCUAACGCUGCAUAGUGCAAGAACAAUUCCAAUGGAGAUGGUGGCUGUGCUAGAGCAUCCCAGUUCUUUUUUACUGAUCCGUCAGGUCUAACACCUGUGGCUGCUUGUCAGGUCCAACAUCCGCAUCGAGCAGCAGUGUGUCGGUUCGAUGGGAGAAGUCGGUUUUCAGUCCCUCAUGGAGGCCAUGCAGUUUAUGGCGUAUGUCUGUGUCCAGGCCGGUGCUUUGUGGACAGACCUUCAAAAUUCAGGACAUCUUGAAGGAGAAAGGUAGGGUUCUCUUGAGGAAGUUUGGGUGCCUCGGUGUAGCAGGAAUUGCUGAGUAUAUCUUGAAGGAGAUCUUUCUUUCUGGUAAAGUAUGUUUUGUUUAUGUAGAUGUCCAUCUGUACUAUAAUCUGGUAGUAAUGAAACAAUAGUUUCUUCUCGGAUGCAUGUUCUGCUUUCAUGUAAGAUGUAACAUCAGGUUGAAUUGAAAAGGGAAAUAAACAUGGCGCUUCAUGAACUUCUAUACGUUCUACUUGUAUGCGUUCUACAGGACUAAUUAAAAGUACAAAAUAGCUAUGGG